AGAGUUUGAUCCUGGCUCAGAACGAACGCUGGCGGCAUGCCUAACACAUGCAAGUCGAACGAGACCUUCGGAUCUAGUGGCGCACGGGUGCGUAACGCGUGGGAAUCUGCCCUUGGGUUCGGAAUAACAGUUGGAAACGACUGCUAAUACCGGAUGAUGACGCAAGUCCAAAGAUUUAUCGCCCAAGGAUGAGCCCGCGUAGGAUUAGCUAGUUGGUGAGGUAAAGGCUCACCAAGGCUACGAUCCUUAGCUGGUCUGAGAGGAUGAUCAGCCACACUGGGACUGAGACACGGCCCAGACUCCUACGGGAGGCAGCAGUGGGGAAUAUUGGACAAUGGGCGAAAGCCUGACCCAGCAACGCCGCGUGAAGGAUGAAGUCUUUCGGGAUGUAAACUUCGUAAGAAUAGGAAGAAUAACAUGACGGUACUAUUUGUAAGGUCCGGCUAACUACGUGCCAGCAGCCGCGGUAAUACCGNAGGGACCAAGCGCUCUGCUCGGAUU
rnacentral:rRNA from 1 species